rnacentral:rRNA from 1 species
AUAAACGCUGGCGGCGUGCCUUAGGCAUGCAAGUCGAGCGGGCCCCGCAAGGGGCAAGCGGCAGACGGGUGAGUAACGGUAAGGAAUCUAUCUUAAAGUGAAGGACAUCUCGUCGAAAGACGGGGUAAUCCUGCAUGUGGUCGUAAGACUAAAGGGCAUAACUGCCCGCUUUGAGAGGAGCCUUACUCCUAUCAGCUAGUUGGUGGGGUAAAAGCCUACCAAGGCUAUGACGGGUAACUGGUGUGAGAGCACGACCAGGCACAAUGGCACUGAGAUACGGGCCAUACACCUACGGGUGGCAGCAACCGGGAAUUGUCGACAAUGGACGAAAGUCUGAUCGCGCGACGCCGCGUGAGGGAUGAAGCCUUUCGGGGUGUAAACCUCUUUUGCCAAGACAUCGAGUUUUGGCGAAUAAGCAUCUACUAACUACGU